rnacentral:rRNA from 1 species
CAAGUCGAACGCGAAAGUCCCGCAAGGGAUUAGUAGAGUGGCAAACGGGUGAGUAACACGUGGGUGACCUGCCUUCGAGCGGGGGAUAACGUCCCGAAAGGGACGCUAAUACCGCAUAACAUCCUGCCUUUUAAGAGGUGGAGAUCAAAGCCGGGGAUCGCAAGACCUGGCACUUGAAGAGGGGCCCGCGCCUGAUUAGCUAGUUGGUGGGGUAAUGGCCUACCAAGGCAACGAUCAGUAUCCGGCCUGAGAGGGCGGACGGACACACUGGGACUGAGACACGGCCCAGACUCCUACGGGAGGCAGCAGUGGGGAAUUGUUCGCAAUGGGCGCAAGCCUGACGACGCAACGCCGCGUGGAGGAUGAAGAUCUUCGGGUCGUAAACUCCUUUCGAUCGAGACGAAUGUUUUCCGGGUGAACAAUCUGGAAAAGUGACAGUACCGAGAGAAGAAGCCCCGGCUAACUCUGUGCCAGCAGCCGCGGUAAUACAGGGGGGGCAAGCGUUGUUCGGAAUUACUGGGCGUAAAGGGCUCGUAGGUGGCCAACUAAGUCAGACGUGAAAUCCCUCAGCUUAACUGGGGAACUGCGUCUGAUACUGGAUGGCUUGAGUUUGGGAGAGGGAUGCGGAAUUCCAGGUGUAGCGGUGAAAUGCGUAGAUAUCUGGAGGAACACCGGUGGCGAAGGCGGCAUCCUGGACCAACACUGACACUGAGGAGCGAAAGCCAGGGGAGCAAACGGGAUUAGAUACCCCGGUAGUCCUGGCCCUAAACGAUGAAUGCUUGGUGUGGCGGGUAUCGAUCCCUGCCGUGCC